rnacentral:snRNA from 1 species
GGAUGUGAGGUCGAUCUGACUGCAACAUCUGUCACCCCAUUGGUCACCAGGGUUGAUUCGGCUGAUCUGGCUGGCUAGGUGGGUGUCCCCUUCCUCCCUCACUGCCCCAUGGGUGUCCCUCCCGAAGCUGUGUGCUUGGUUGGGGAGGAUGGCCUUCCCCAAAUAACUGCACUGUAAACCAUUAAC